UCUUUAUGAAACUUGACCUCAAAUCAGGUGGGACUACCCGCUGAACUUAAGCAUAUCAAUAAGCGGAGGAAAAGAAACUAACAAGGAUUCCCCUAGUAACUGCGAGUGAACCGGGAAGAGCUCAAAUUUAAAAUCUGGCGGUCUUUGGCCGUCCGAGUUGUAAUCUGGAGAAGCGUUUUCCGCGCUGGACCGUGUACAAGUCUCCUGGAAUAGAGCGUCAUAGAGGGUGAGAAUCCCGUCUUUGACACGGACUNCCGAUGCUUUGUGAUACGCUCUCAAAGAGUCGAGUUGUUUGGGAAUGCAGCUCAAAAUGGGUGGUGAAUUCCAUCUAAAGCUAAAUAUUGGCGAGAGACCGAUAGCGAACAAGUACCGUGAGGGAAAGAUGAAAAGCACUUUGGAAAGAGAGUUAAACAGUACGUGAAAUUGUUGAAAGGGAAACGCUUGAAGUCAGUCGCGUCG
rnacentral:rRNA from 1 species